AAUAACGUUAGCCUACCUUAAGGCUAAUAUAAUGGCCAACAUAAGAGACUCUUAUAGUAGCCUACCUUAAGAGACCCGUUAUCAAACCUAACAGAUCUCUUACUUUAGUUUAAUUAAAAAAAAAAAAAAUAGGUAAGAGACCAGUCAUCAAACUAUCGGAUCCCUUACAUUAUUUUAAUAAAACAUUGAGGAAGACAAGAGACCAAUGGUCAAGCAUAACUGGUCUCUUACCUUAAGGACUCUCACACCGAUACCUUUAACUUUUCACCAUUAUUCUUUUCAUAUUCCUCUAGAACUCUAAUUUUUUAAUCUUCAUUCUCUCACCUCUCUGAACUUUCUCACUCUAAAAUUACUAAGACCAAGUAAAAGAAAAUCCCUCUUCUCAUCUUUUCUAUUUUUAUGUUUCCCCAAACGAGAUAUCAUAGCGAUUACAAUUCGACGACGAUGACGCAACAAUGGUGGUUGAAUAGGGUUGGAUGAUGAAAUUUCUAUGUAUAUUGCAAUGUUCUAGUAAAGAAGACAAAGAUCUAUCUGUGUUUUCAACAAAAUCUCAAUUGAAGAAGAGCGAAUAUGAAGCACUCAAGCUAUAUCAACAAAAUCUCAAUUGAAGAAGAGCAAAUAUGAAAGCUAUAUUAUUGAUUGUAAUUAUAAUUGUAAAUUUCCAAUAUGUUUAUAUGUUUCAGUGUUAGCAUUUUAAGGGUUUGAUUUUGUAAAUAUAACAUCAGUUUAGUUAUGAAGGUUUUUUUGGUCUGUAAUUCACUACUUUUCCGCCAUUGAAUAAAGCAUGUAGAUUCAAAUUUUAAAUUUUAAAUUUUAAAUUUCGAAAUUGAAAUAAUAACAUAGAGUAGACCAUUUAAACAUAAAAAAAUAAAAAAAUAAAAAACAAAAGAGACCAGUUAUAAGCCAUAGUGGGUCUGUCAGUUUCAACUAAGAAGACCUAAUAUUUUAAAUAACGGUCUCUGUUUCUUAAAUAUAUCUCACAUAAAGGACCACCCAUCUUUAACAACGGAUCUCUUUGUCUUUUAUGACAGACAUUAGUCUAUUUAUUGAACAGACCCCUGAGAUAGAGACAUGUUAAGAGGCGGUCUCUCAAGCACAUUUGGACGGGUCUCUUUGACGAUUUUUGUAGUAGUAAAUCCCCAUGGCUAACCACAUAGAACACGCACUAGUGUGGCAAAAAAAGGUAACCUAUAAUCGACAUAUUUCGAGGACCAUGAACAA